rnacentral:rRNA from 1 species
UACGUAGGCAGCGAGCGUUGUUCGGAGUUACUGGGCGUAAAGGGUGCGUAGGCGGUUGUUUAAGUUUGGUGUGAAAUCUCCCGGCUCAACUGGGAGGGUGCGCCGAAUACUGAAUGACUAGAGUGCGGGAGAGGAUAGUGGAAUUCCUGGUGUAGCGGUGAAAUGCGCAGAUAUCAGGAGGAACACCGGUGGCGAAGGCGGGUCUCUGGGCCACUACUGACGCUGAGAAGCGAAAGCAUGGGGAGCGAACAGG